rnacentral:lncRNA from 1 species
UCCCAAGUGUCUGCCUGUUCAGACUCAUCCUUCAUGUCUGUAGUUAGUUCUUAACCAUCCUGAUCAGAAGCUUCUAAAGAUAACACGGUAGCAUCCACUUACUUGGUCAAAUUUGACAGCUUGAAAUAUGAAACUCACUUGAAGAGGGAGGAGGAAAUUACUGGAGUCUGUAGAUUUCCUCCUGCGUCCAGACCCUGACCCAAGCAGUUUCAGAUUCAUUCUUUCCAUUUAAUUAUCCAGACACAGCCCUGUGAGGUAGAAGAUAGGAAACAAGGCUACACCAUUAAGAAUCAGGAAAUAAAGUUUAAAAACAAACAAAUGGGGGAGAAAAAAACAUACUUUUGACCAAAGUGGAAAGGUAAGGUCUUGGCACUAAAGGCUAUUAUUCAUCCAAUGCUCAAGAGAACAGUCAUCAUUCAGAACGUUCUGCUCUUUAUAUCCACUUACAGUAAGCCUGGGAGUUUGUGUCCAAACAAUUGUUAGGGAUUAAGGGGUGCUCUGAAGACACACAGGCAGUGGCAGCAGUGAGGGACAACUAUGACAGGAAGGGAAGAGGCAGAGAGAGACUGUAAAAUGGCCAUAGGAGAAUUCAGAGUUCCAGCUUCUAGGGCUGUUCAGUCCAGGAAACCCGCCCUGAAUUCAUAAUAGUCUCCAGGAACAGGAUAAUGGUUGAUUCUUAUGAUUCUGGGUUAUCAAGAAGAAAUUUUUUAAAACUAUUCAAUUAAUUUGAGAAAUUUGUAAGACAUAAAAUUCUGAACGCAAAAUCUUUGUUGAAUGCAACUGAAAAAGUAAAAUGCGUCCUAUCCAGAUACCAUUUCUGGUGGCCAGAUUGAUUAUUGUCUUGUUGAGUGAUUCUAAUGGGUUUUUUGGGUUUUUUGUUUUGAUGUGUGUAUGAUGAGCAUUAAGUGUGGUAAAUAGUAGUUAUCGCUCAUUGAUUGAUUUUGGAAGAUAGUCUAUGCAGUUGGAACUUACCAUCUCAUAACUGUGGCCUGAUUACCAAGAUUGUCCCAUCGUGGAUGUGUUAAGGUUAUUCACAACUUGACUAGCGUAUUCUGAUCCACUUCCCCUGCUGCCAGUUGUUACGUAUUUAGAGAAUGCUGUUAGUAGGCUAAGUGAAACAUAGUUUAAACUUUCACAUAAAAAUGUAUAUCGUUAACCCACUGAGUGAGGCCAGGGAUCGAACCCUCAACCUAACGGUUCCUAGUCGGAUUCGUUUCUGCCCUGCCAUGACGGAACUCCUGAAAUUAUCUUUGAUGAAGGACUGUUUUUAAAAAUUCUCUAUGCAUAGCAGACUGAUACUUUUAUAAAGUACAAUAAAAAUAAAUUAGUAGAAAAAUGAAAUUUUAGUAGAAAACAAGCUCAUUUUAAAAAUUAAAGUGAACAGACAUAAAAAUACUGUCAGGUUCCUCUGUAAGUUUCUGAAUGUGUGGUCUCAAAUUUAUUCUUUCCUGUUCAUGAGCUGCUUGUGCUUUGAGUACCUCUCCUGUGGAGGAGUAAC